CUCUGGAAGAGCAGUCAGUGCUCUUAACCACUGGGUGUUGCAUGAAUCCUAAAUGGUCUUAUAAUAAAAUUUCGGAGCCAGAUAUUGGGGCAAAUGCUGAAAGAUCAAAGAAAACAAGCCACAGUCAUUUCUCACCUCGCCAGCUCCUCGGCCGAAAAGAGAAGAGCCUGUCUCCACGAAUCCUCAGACUGAAUGCCUCUGCGUCCUCAGCU